GUCUUGACAAUUUUAAGUGAUACAUGAAAUGGCAUUUUUAAUUAGUAUAUAUUAACUUUUACAGUCAUUUAUUUACGAGAGUACUGGUUUUCUUUUCCAUGUACACUGUGAUGUUAAGUUUCUAUUUCACGUACAUUUAAACAGUUUAAGGAAAACAGCAGGGUCAUUAGUCACAUAUGGGGGACUGCAGAUGUGACAAAAACACUGCCAGUGACACACAAAUGACUGAAACGCAAUGACCGCUCCAACAGCUCCAGCCGGGAAGGGACCAUUGGUAAACGAGAUUUCAACCCUUAUCUGCUGAAAACUGAAAGCACAGGACGAACAGUGACGCCCUGGUGAGCAGCAGGGAGGAGCUGCCUCAGAGGGAGGCGCUGUCCAACCCGAGAGCUCCCAGAGGUGCCUGUCAGCCCAGCCAGCACCAGGUCCCCCUCUAGACACCAGAAACUGAGCCAGACAAAGUCCCUGCCAUCGAGGACCUUAGAUGCUAGUUCUGGAGAUACACAAGUAAACAAGGAAGAAAUUUAAGGCCCUGAUACAAGCUCUAAAAACCAGAGUGGAUUCUUUACCAGCUGAAAUACCAGGGAAGCCCUCUUGGAUGGACAGUGGUACCAUUUAAGUUCUCUCUGCCUGCAUGAAGAUGGAGGCAGUGAUUCAUGGAGCCGGAGCUCAAGGAUUCCAAGAUCUGUUACAGAAGUCAACUUUGACAUGCUCCUAUGCCCCACUCCUAACAGAAGUGUCCUCCCUGCAGAACAUCAAAGAAAUGUUGAGGACACAGAGCACUAAUAAAGACAUGGCUGUCAGAGGAAAGCCUUUCACAACUGACCCUGAUGCAUCCUCUGAGUAAUGAUGUUCCCAUCCACUGUUACUGAAUGAAACUUGCCAGCCAACAAGUCCUCAAAGUGUGCUGAAAAUUCCUUGUCAGACCUAAUAUUACCUCAUUUGUAUAUUGGGAUGGACAACUAAGGAUCAUAAAACAUAUAAGCAAAGACUAAAUCAUUAAUGAGAAAUUCAGGAUAAAAAAUAUCGCCAAAAGGAAAAUAAAAAUUACUCCCAGAGGAAAUACAGAUAAUAUGAGAAACAGGAAAACUAAACACACAUACACACACAAAACAAACAGAAAACCACCUCUAACCAGUAUUCUCUAUGUAGGCAUGGCACAGUCAUAAAAACAAGAGGAGGAUGCAAUAGAAAAGGAAUAAUCAGAAACAAAAAUAGCUCUUACACAUUACAUACACUGGCUGAUAUUAAAAGACUUCUAAUGAAAGAUAAAACAUUGAGUGAUCUUUCAGAAUAAACAAGACAGAAAAAUGUGAGAAGAGAUAUGAGCAACAGGAAAUUGGGGGGAAAAAACACAGUGAUUGAACAUCUGAAAAACUGGAGCCUACUAACGAGAGAAUUCAAGAAACACAUUUCUCAGUGAAAGCAACUGACAAGAUGCCGCCUGUUAACUGCUGAGCACUGUCACACAGAGUCUUAACCAAACAAAUACGAGGGACAAGCAUACAAUUCAAGAG
ensembl:lncRNA